AAAGACAGUAGUUAGACUCUACUAUUAAGGG
rnacentral:tRNA from 1 species